rnacentral:rRNA from 1 species
GGCUUUUGCAAAACUGAUAUAAAAAGUCGUACCUCGCCCGGUGACUUAGUUGUUUAACGGCCGCAGUUGUCCUGUGCUAAGGUAGCAUAAUGAUUAGCUCUUUAAUUGGGGGAAAGUAUGAAUGGUUUGACGUGGAGAUACUGUCUUAAAUAUAAUAAAUAGAAAUUUUUUUUCAAGUGAAAAAACCUGAAUUUUUGUAAAAGAAGAGAAGACCCUAUCGAACUGAAUUAGAAAGUUAAUAAUUGAAAGUCAGUUAUUAUUCUUUUGAAUUUUUGUUGGGGUAACAAUGGACUAAAAAGAACGUCUCUUUAUUAUAUAAAAAUCCUAUUUGAUAGAAAAGAUCAACAGUUACCGUAGGGAUAACAGCGUAAUAUCUUUCUGAGAGGUCUUAUUGAGGAAAGGGUGUGCGACCUCGAUGUUGAAUUAAAGAAACUUUACGGUUGCAGGAGCUGUAGAAGUAAGACUGUUCGUCUUUUAAACCUUU